AACCCUAAAGUAACCCUAGACAUUUCCUUUUCAAUCGUUAAGCCGACCCUUAACACUCCUCUAAGAGUCGAUCCGCCACCAUGAACGGAGACCAGCCCGUCCAGGCCUCAGAGUUGUUUUUCAGCCUUUAAACCCCUUCUAUAUUUUGAUUUCGACGAAGAAGAAGAAGUUUCAUGGCGUAUUUACAAGGUACGGAGCGUGUGCUGGCACUAGGCGUGAGGGUGGCGUACGGCCUGUUGACGUGGAGGUACGAGUGGCGUUGGGCUGCACGGCCGCUGAAGGUUGCCGCGCAAGGGAAAGAAACCCUAGAGUUUCUGUUUCUAAAGUCUUUUGGGUCAUUUGGGCCUUGUAACUUUGGGUUGUUUUGUAAAUGGCCUUGUAACUAAGCUAUUGGGUCUGAUAUGUAAAGGACUAAUAAUUGGACUUUUUAUUAUUUGGUUUUUUUUAUAUUUAUAUUUUGUAUUUUGGUUCUUCUUCAGGCCCAGGCAAAAAUGGCCCAUUACAAGUACUUGGAAGUUGAUAUAAUUUGAUAAAAUGAUUUAUGGUUGAUAGA